GUCCACAGUACACGGAUGCCCCACUCACACUAUCAUUUUCUAUGUUUAAGGACUGUGAAAUUGGAAUAAAUUCUCUAAUUUGGCAUUAAAAUUAGAAUGAUCUUAUCAAAGGGAACAUGUAUACUAAGUUUCAAGUUGAUUGGACUUCUACUUUAUCAAAAACUACCUUGACCAAAAACUUUAACCUGAAAUUUGCACUAUCAUUUUCUAUGUUCAGUGAACCGUAAAUUGGGGUCAAAACUCUAAUUUGGCAUUUAAAUUAGAAAGAUCAUAUCAUAGGGCACAUGUAUACUAAGUUUCAAGUUGAUUGGACUUCAACUUCA
rnacentral:lncRNA from 1 species